rnacentral:rRNA from 1 species
UACGGAGGGGACUAGCGUUGUUCGGAAUUACUGGGCGUAAAGCGCACGUAGGCGGAUAUUUAAGUUAGGGGUGAAAUCCCAGGGCUCAACCCUGGAACUGCCUUUCAUACUGGGUAUCUCGAGUCCGAGAGAGGUGAGUGGAAUUCCGAGUGUAGAGGUGAAAUUCGUAGAUAUUCGGAGGAACACCAGUGGCGAAGGCGGCUCACUGGCUCGGUACUGACGCUGAGGUGCGAAAGCGUGGGGAGCAAACAGG